rnacentral:rRNA from 1 species
GACGUAGGGCGCGAGCGUUGUCCGGAUUUAUUGGGCGUAAAGAGCUCGUAGGCGGUUCGAUAAGUCGGAUGUGAAAUCUCCACGCUCAACGUGGAGGGGCCAUUCGAUACUGUCGUGACUCGAGUCCGGUAGGGGAGUGCGGAAUUCCUGGUGUAGCGGUGAAAUGCGUAGAUAUCGGGGAGGAACACCAGUGGCGAAGGCGACUUCCUGGCCUGUUCUUGACGCUGAGGCGCGAAAGCCAGGGGAGCAAAGCGGGAUUAGAUGACCCU